rnacentral:tRNA from 1 species
UGAAGUAUAGCUCAGUUGUAGAGUACUUGCCUAGUAUGCAUGAGACCCUGGGUUCCAUUUCUAGGACCUCUA